UGAAUGGGCUCUAACAAUUUUAUUAUAUUUGGACUCAUUUAAUUUGAGCAAGUUCCAUGUAUUAUAUUUUACUGGGGCUCUAGUUAUUUAUUUAAUUGGGCCUGCAAGUGAUUUUAUUAAUCUUAUCGGUUUUAUAUAAGAUUUAGUUUUUAUAUAUAUUAAUUAUUAUUAUUAAUUCCUUUAAUCCGGGCUAAGUGUAUCAAUAGUUAGAAAUUCCUUUUUCCUUAGACAUUAGAAUGGAACAUUGAGACCUAUUUAAGAAUAGAUUUCUUGUAGGUUCGAGUAACCAAAGGCAGUGAAGCUUCAAGCAAGUCGAGCAUUGAAUCUCCACUUUGAGGUUGAUCGGUUGAUGCAGACGGGGCUGAGCUGAGGCUAGAUACCACGAUGUCUUUUGCUUCCGCUAAUGACUAGCUUGUCAUCUCGUCUUUUAAAUUUACCUAAAUUGAGAAUUUCCAUUAUGUGGUACAAUAUUAUCUCGUUAGGCUUAGACUCUUAACCCAUAUUUCUAUUAAUGAAGCUAUCAUUGAUUAUGAUCAGAGUCACGAAACUAAACUUAUGCGAUCCUGAGUGUGAUUAUUGUCAUUGGACUGGCAUCUCUUAAUGCCUUUUAUUUUAACUCCUUUAAAUCUAUCUCUUUGGAUUAUGAAUACUCAA